rnacentral:lncRNA from 1 species
UGAUUAGUUUGGUUAAAUAAGGAAUAUUUGUUGGUUAACCUAUAACAUUGAAUAAAAUAUUAAUUAUUCGACUAUAUCAGAAAAUGCUUUCAAUACUAGGAUUUCUAUUUUUCAUGAAUUUGUCACAGAGUGCAAUUACAGCCAUUCAAGAAGAAUCAGAUGAUACAUGCGCAUCCUGCAUAAAUGGUCUUGCGAUUGGAUUGCAGUUUUA